ensembl:lncRNA
AACGUAUUGUUUGACCACACAGGUUCAAUUAAAUGUUACUUAUUUAAUGAAUCCUGAAAUAAAGCUGAUUGACUGCCAUGAAUAACUACAGUUUAAGCAGACCUGAUAAAAGCCUCUAAAUUACAGUUGCCUUAUGCAUGUCAGGUGUUUCAGUCCAAACCUCAGAUGUUGACCUAGAAAAAAAUUGAGAAUCAACAGAAUCGUUUAAUGAAGAAUCCAUGUGGACUAAAGUAGUGGACUGACCAACAGACUGACAUUAACAUCAGAGCCGUGCUGCUAGUGUGGCUAAAAGAAAAGAGAAGAAGAGACAGUCAUGUUGAUAUGAACAUUAGAGAAACACAUCAUGGAGCUGAAAUAUGAUCCUGCUUCCUCAUUUGGACUCAUUCACCUCAGCUGACACAUUCAACAGCAGACAGGUUUUUGUAGCAGUCUGUCUCACUGUGAGAUACAUCUUUGGCUCUGGAACUAAACUGUAUGUAACAGAUGAGCAGGUAGUGAAGCCCGUGGUGAGCGUGUACCCAGCAGCAUCCAGAGCCCACCUGGAGGGGAACAGCUCCCUGCUGUGUGUGGCCUCAGCCAUGUUUCCUCCUCUGGUCCAGUUCUCCUGGAAAAGACAGAAGAAGAACGGCGGAGAAGCGGAGGAGCUGCCCCCUGCUGAGGGAGAGCAGCUGGAGCUCAGAGAGUCGGGACGCACCAUUGCCAUCAGGAUGGUUGAUGGGAGUGAUUCUGACACAUAUAAAUACAGCUGCUGGGUGAAGCACGAGGGGGGCACAGUGGAGGCCCAAACACAACAAGGUAAUGAAGGCUUGGUGGCUGUGUUCAGCAGUGAUUCAGCUUCAUGUGGAGAUGCUGUCAAAGAGAGCAGAGGAGCAGAGGACUGACAUUUCUCACUGCAGCUCCAAACAUUUGACUCCUUUUCUGUUUCAGAGGUUCCAGCUCCAGCAGCCUCCUGUCCUCCAGAGAGAGAGCCAGCAGACCUGCCAGCUCUGCAGCCAGCUGACUGUAAGAUCACCUGCUGCCUCUCUGCAUGGACAGCUCCAAUGUCCAAUGAGGGAGCUGGAACAAGUUUAGGGACUCAGUCUUAAAGUUGCACUAAUUGAUCAAAUCUUCAUCCAACAAGCUCUGAUAAAGCCACUGUACACUAGCUGCUCAGCACCAAACAGCAGACAGACCAUAAUAUGUCAGAGAUCAGUUUGUUAGCUGCUUGUGGACUUCUUCUGCCCCCAAGUGGACACAAACACUACAUCAAUUCAUCCACUUGAAGAAGAAGCUGUGACUGUUUCUAUUUGGACUUUUUCUCCUUGAUCUGAGAGGAAUAACCCGACUGUCUGUCUGUCUCUUUGUGUCUGUCUGUCCUUCAGUGUCCUUCCAGUCUCAGUGCAGGGUGAAGCUGCUCUGCCUGCUGUACACAGUGCUGAUAGUGAAGAGUCUGGUGUACUGCUGUGGACUCUCUCUGCUGAUGAUCCUCACAAACAAGGGACCGUCCACCAACUGCACACAUGCUGACUGACUGUUUUCUGCUCGCCUUUUCUCACCAUCAGAUUUCCUGGGUCAGCAGUCAGAAAUGUAAAUUAAAUUGUGGUUGGUUCAAUGUUUCAUUACUGAGCAUUUGACCUUUUCUCAUUUAAUCAUCUUAAACUGUGUAAUAUAAAUUUACAAAUAAACAUGUUUGAUGUGUUUGUAUGAAGCGUAGAUUCUUUAUAUGAAGUUUUAAUUUUUUGUACAUCUCUGUAGAAAAACUAAGGUGAAGCAUUCAGAUCCCACCAUGAUACAAUAACAGAGUAGUUAUUUGUUUAAAGUAGAAAUAAAGAUUUGGAUUUUAAGAAUGCAUUUCUCAUGUUUUCUGUGAUACAUAACCUGUGUGACUGCAGCAUUCACAGAUCAUAAACUUGCUCUCCUGCAGCAGACGGGCUGUGUGGGUUUCUGCUCUGCAGCCUCCACACCGUUAGCUGUGGCUUUUCACUUUAAUAACACAAUGACAGUUACAAGCAUGAACUCUGCUUCAAGUUAUUCAGGAAGCAUCUGUGUUCAUGUAUGUGAGAGAAACAAAGUGUGAACUCAGAGCUGUUACAGAGUUGAUGUUUAGUACGAUCACAAAAGACAAAUACAAGAUGAAGUCUAAACAUUAAAUCCCACAGAAGUCACAUAGAACCAUUAUGAUUUAAAAGUCCUGAAAAAAGUGAACAAAUUAAGACAACAUUUGUAAAAACAAUUUCAUAAGACACCAUCAGUUCAGAUAGAUAUUGAGCAUCUUUCUAAUUUUUCCUAAUAAUCAUAAAUAUGUAAAAUAUUUAACUUCCUAGGACCUCGUGUCCACAUAUGUGAACAACACAUUUUGGGUUGUCUAGACCAAAUUACUACAUUUUGCUCUACAAGGGCCUGAUAUCCACUUACGAGGACAUUAUACUAACACUGUCCCAUGGAAAAGUGAAUGUCCUCAUAUGUGGAUCUCAUUUUUCUCAGAAACAAAAACAUUCAUCAGGUCCCAAUCAGCCCAAAGAGCAAAGAGAAAUUAAAAAUGUAUGCAAUGAAAGAGUUCGUGUCUCAGGAGGUUAAAACAAAUGUGUCAUUGAUUAAUCAGCUUAUUUAUUCAGACUAGUACAAUUCAGACGCUCGAUGGCGAAGAAUUAAGUGAAGUUUAUUACAGGAGGUUCGGUGUGACAACAACGAGUGAUGAAAACAAACAUGAACUAAAGGCGAGAGCGUAAAAAUCGGCCCUGAGGUAAAUAACUAAUUUACAAGGUAGCACGUAUCACACCACGCUGUAAGUAAUACCACUAAAGGAAAACACUAUGAACAGUGUUCGAAAGAGUUUGGGUCUCAAGAGGUUAAAACAAAUGUGUCAUUGAUUAAUCAGCUUAAUUAUUCAGACUAGUACAAUUUAUACAAAUAAUAAAUUUGAGUUAAAAAAUGUAAACAAAAUCAUAAUAAUUAUAAUCAAGACCAGCACAGAGAAACAAACUCAAAACAAAGAUCAUUUACUAAUUUGAUGAUUUUACCAGUGAUGAAUAUUUAUUAAAUUCACUGACGCUGUACUAUAAAUUCUAUUGAUAUUAAUAUUAUAUUAAUAUUUUUUAAAAUUUUAAAUGUAAAUAUAAAAUAUAUUUUCCUGGUGAGAUUUACUCUGUGUUUUAUGUCUUGGAGGUUCGAUGGCGAAGAAUUAAGUGAAGUUUAUUACAGGAGGUUUGGUGUGACAACAAAGAGUGAUGAAAACAAACAUGAACUAAAGGCGAGAGCCUAAAAAUCAGCUCUGAGGUAAAUAAUAAAUUUACAAGGUAGCACGUAUCACACCACACUGUGUACCACUGAAGGAAAACACUAUGAACUGUGUUGAGACGACGCCAGCCUCUCCGAUCCUUUUGUCUUGGUAGAGAUCAGAGAUGUUUCCAAGUAGGCCUACUUUUGUACUGUUGUGUAAAUGUGUAUGUAAAGGUGGAUGACUGCCUACUGCAAAUGAAAUCUAACCAUGGGUACAAAUAAAUGAAGCUGAAGCUGACGUAAAACACAGCCCUGUUUUUAUUACUGUUUAUAGAUAUUAUCAUUGAUGAUCAUCAUUUUGAAUGAUUCUUAAAAUUGUCGUUAAUAAAACAGAACAAUUAAAAAUGAGAUGCUGUGAAUAUUAUUUAUUCAUUUUGAUUUACAAAAACAAAGAAAAGGUGAACAUAUUCAAAAAGUUAUAUAAAGAAGAAAACAACAGAUAACAGUGUGUGUUACUAAAUUAACAGCAACCUGAAUGUGUUUGUGGGAACAUGAAUGUUUUUGAGUGUUUCUGCAUCAUGUGACCCAGAUUUUUGGAUCUGCUGUCAGAUUGAAAUGAAGACGAUGAAACCACAGCAGCUUCAGCUGAGCUGUCAAUCAGCAGCAGCAGUCUUAUCUGUGGGCCGCAGGGGCUGAUGGGAGCUUUGAGGACCUGUUAGAAACCACGUGGCCCUCGUCUGAUCUCACAGCUCGUCCUUGUUUGGCCUCAGCUGCAUCAGAGCGCCACUUCUCCCCAGGUUCACCAGAGGAAACACCACUGCACAAAAUGCUUUUCCUCCCAGCUGCUGCUCUGUGCUGUCUGUGUUCAGGUGAGUGUUUCCAGCCAAUCAGGAGCCAACAAACUCAACCUGUAACAAACACUGUCACACUAACCUUCAUCUAUCUGUCUGUGUCUCUACAGCACUGGUUACCAUGGCAGCAGAACAGCUGAUUCAGGACGAUUUAACAUUGACCAGGAGAGUUGGAGAAAGUGUCUCCUUCAGCUGUGGAGGGACUGAACAGUGUUAUUAUAGUCCUCCCGAAAUAUACUGGUACCAAAAAAAAAAAGAAAAAGAAACAUUCCAGAGAAUAGCAUAUACUAAAAAGGACGGCAUUAGUUGCACAUUUUCCAAACCUUAUAAUCAUCCACAGGAAAAUGAUUUUUCAGUCGUGAAUAAAAAGAACGGCUGUGAGUUGAAGAUAGAGAAAGCUAAACUCGAUCAUUCAGCCACCUACUACUGCUCCUGUUGGAAGUCUGCUCCCCACAGUGAGAAAUGAUCCCUGCAGCCUGAACAAAAACCAACAGAUGAACAGAUGUCAAACAGUGUUUGUGACAGGAAGAGAGCAGUAAACCACAGCCCAGGUUCACAGAUUUCACCUCCAUCUCAGAGUCACAAACAUACUGAGCUCAGGGACGAUUUUUAUUUACUGCUGUCAGAAAUUAUUUUCCAACAGAUUUAUUUAGUUAUUUAUUUUAUUUAAUCAUCAUGUCCACAUCUAAGGGAAAAAAUGGAAAAAAGUUUCCACCUUAACUUUUGUGACUGAACUCAAAUAACAGCUGAGGAUGAUGGUUUCUUGAUGAAUUAUAUAAAUAUCUUGUCUCUUAUUUUGGCUCCACUUAAACAGAAAACAGCAGGAACAGGAGCAACCUAAAACAUAAAAUGAAGACACUGGAGGUGUCCCUGCAGCCUAAUGAGAAAGAAAACUUUUCCUGCAAAGUCAAAUCUUUAUAUUCAACAUUUGGAAAACGUUUGAGAAGGAUGUGUGUGUUGGGUUUGACUAUGAUUAACACACACUGUGCAGGUUCCAGUUUUUUUACUGAAGGUCAAUGAUUUUUAAUUAAACAGAAAUCAUGAAAGAAAGCUAACAUUUGUCAUGCUGCCAUUCUAACAUUUUUCAUCCUUUAGUCAUCAUUUCACAUUCAUUUAUUUUCUAUAUCAAUAACAUUUAAAUCUAAAAACUUUUAUUUCAGCUCCUCUUUUGUUUGGUCUUUUCAUCAUCUUUGUUUUUUAGUACAUCCAGAUAUCAGCUCCUCAGUUUUUGAGCCACUGACAUCAUUGGUUUCUUCACAGCCCUGAAAAAUGCAGCUUUCCUGUAGUAAAUACUUUAGAAAACUAGAACCAAUCAAAAUAUUACUCAAGUCUAGUCACAUUUUCAAUUCUAAUGUGAUUCACUGAUUCAAGUCUUAGUAUGGGACACUGUCAGGAACUCAAGGUUCGUGUGCUGUUUGGACCCAAAAGCAGACUCACUAUGUGCAAACUAUUUACAAGGUUUAUUUACAAAAAAUGUGAACUCAAACUAGAACAUGGA